rnacentral:misc_RNA from 1 species
GUCUGAUGAUUUUAUUUUCUGAAAUUUUCUCUCUCUGUGUUUUCGUCUUUUGUAUCUGUUAAUUGAUUGGAGCAGGGAUUGUGUGUAUCGGCGUUGUGCUCCAAAAAUGCACUCUGAAUCCGAAAGAGUUCCCUGCAAUAUAACAUCUGGGGAAGAUGGGCAGUUGUGUUUCAUUCUUCAUCAUUGAAAAUAUUCAACAAUCAUCUUCCCCACAUUUUCCUCUUUGAUAUUCAUCAAUUUUCUUAAUUAUUAUUUUGUCAUACUAUCAUCUGCAAGAAGAUGAUAUUGUCAAUAGUAAUACCAUUUUA